GGUUGUUUAACUCAGGUGGUUAGGACAUUGAGCUAAUGAGAGCAAGGUCACAGGUUCAACCUUUGUGUGGGUCAGCA
rnacentral:tRNA from 1 species